GCAAGGCUCCAUAAUGAAGGAAGCCUGUCAUGUGUGAGUGUCAUCAGUAUGCUUCACAUAAUCCCGCCCCCACUGCUUCCUCUACAUCAGAGGUCACCUCGCAGCUCUUGGAUAGUUGCUACCCCUUGUUGCUAAGCUGAGAGAGCUGCUAAGCUUGUUCCUCUCUGGUGUUUUGGAUCCUGUGCUGAGUACCGGUGACAGUGCACAACUACACACAACUGAGUGCUGCCAUUUUGAUGCUUCAUCUGCGGUGGUGCCAUUAUGAAGAAAAGUCAUUAUCUGAAUUUGUCUUCGUUUUUUUUUUAAUAUGUAGGCUGUGUGGUCUCUGUGACACUGUGAAGAUGCUGACGAUGUUCCUGAGGUAACUUCUUAUUCUGACAUGACAAGUCUAUGACACUCAGUCUUGGUGGCUGCUGCUGUCCAAACCAGCUUCAAGAUGGCAGCAAACCAUAAACCCGAACCCCAGCUAUAAACAUCCAUCCAGAAAGCUACAGGUGAUGUCACACAAACCAUUACAGCUUUUUAAUUGGCAACCAACCAUGUCGCAUUGUUUUGAGUUUCCAUUAUUAUAAAUGCGUCAAGCUGUACCGAGUCAAGCCCGAGAUGGACAUCUCUGGCCACCUCCAAGAGCUGGCGUCAGAUGGUCGUCUACAGGUCUGUGUCUGUUUGACCGAGUGUCGAACUGAGCUACACACCCGCAGAGCAGAGAGGCCGGGGACAGGAUGAAGGCUUCGGCUGCAUUCACACAAAAUCUGGCACUGUGUCACCUUCCUGAGAUGUGUUGGUGUUAAUUUAUGUUUUAAAACGUAACUGCAAUCAAACAAUUAGAAAAUAAUGUUCUCUUUCUCUGAUUCACUGCUUUGUUCUAGGUAGCCGCUCCCUCUCUUCGUUCACUCUCUAGCUCACUUGUCCACUACUACGCUUUUUCUCGUAGGGCCGGAGAGGAGGGGCCAACUUUUACAAACAACAGCCGACAAAUCCCAGUUUUUUUCUGCUGAGACACACCUUCAUUCUGGUAGCCCUGUUGUAAUAGAGAUGCAAAUCCCUGUUACGCUGAUGCAAGGGAAAGUCAAACUGACUCAAGCCAAGCAAGCACGUGUGUAUGGAAAAGGGCUACUAGUCCAUAUUGCUGUCCUGUCUACGCUACAUAAGAAGAUUUAAAAAUUCCACAUAAGUAAAAGCAAAUUAUAUGAGAAGGAAUUUGAAUUUGGCUUGUACUGGGAAAGGUUGCGUUACAUUGUGAAAUAAUAUUAACAAAAAUGCACAGACACACAGAGGAAAACAAAAAGAAAUAAAUCUAUAAAAGCAAUUUCAAGGCAGAGAUGUACUCAACAGUGUAAUAAGAUGUAUGAUAUUAAGCUGGGAUUGCUUGUAUUGUUUAUAUCCAUAACAGGGUGAGGGCAAGCUCUCUCUUUAUCUCUCUCUCUGAGAUUGAGAUGUGUGCCUCUGUUUUUCCAAACUCUGUGGGUAGACAGAGUCGAUUUUCACUAAUAGAAAAUAAUGACGGAUAAUAAACAGAGGGACAUGUUUUAGGGAUCAUCUGUGGUUCUGUGCACAUACAACAGACAUAUGUCUGGAAAAUGUUAGCGGCCCUCUCGUCUUGUCAGCUCAGUGGGGGAGGAAACAGGAAGUCCAUGUGAGCCAAACAUAUGCUGUUACAAUAUACUGUAUGUCUAUACUGUGAAGCUGUGAAUAUACAGUAAAAUGUCACUUAUAGGUUCUAGAAAGGAAGAAAACAUAAAACAUAGAGCAUUUUUUAGAUUGUAGAAAUGGGUUUCAGUUCAAAAUAGUUGAUUGUUUCUUCCAAAUUUUAUCCCCUACAUUUUUUGACAAAUUUUAACUGGAACAAACAAUCAGCCGAAGAGAGGUUUGAUAUGAAUGUAUUAUGGUGAUCUACAGCUCAAUGUAGGUUUUGUCUUGAGAAUAUCUUAAAACAUAUGACCACGAAUGCCAUCAAUCCAGUUUUUGUAGGCACAAAUCACUCCAGACCAGGCCAAAUCUGUCAGUAUUAUUAAAAUAAUUUAUGGACCAUCAAACAGGAACACAGCACGAAUCUGAUGUUUAACCACCUUAGAUUGCAAUUAGACCUCCAUAAAAAGAAUAAAAGUAUGGUAUCAAAUGAAAGCUUGACAAAUUUGUGAUUAUGUAAAGUGAUUGUUAGUGGGUUUUUCUUCACUACACAGUUCUUAUUUUUUGUUUGAGUUUUGGCAUCACUCUUAUUUGUUAAGAUAACAUAUUACUUACAAACAUAACUGCUGAGAUAUGGGCCAAUAUAGAAGACAGUUUGUGCGUAUCUUUGCUUUCACUAAAUAUUAAAAGACAUGCUCAUGCAUGUUUUACACUGCAAAUUCUAACUUCCAUAUAUGAACUAGUAAAUAAAAUGUUGUUGUAACCAGAUGAUGGUCAGAACUUUGAAUAUAAGAUAUAGAUAGCAAAAAAACUUAAGAUUUGGGUUAGAGUAGAAGAUUGAGCUAGAUAAAUACAGUAUAUCAAUUCCACGUGAGCAGUUCAAGGUUGCUUGGUUAAGAAUUAGAUCAGAUUUUGGCGUGUGGUCAAGCUCCAGCAAAUAUAAACUGAAAUUAUUUUUAACUCAUAUAUGCCAUUAGUUAUCAAAGAUCCUACUGCUGUAUUACAACAUGCAAUUCUUAGUCAGCUUUAAACAGUGCAUAAAUGUGGUAUUACUGUAAAGCACUGCAUGUACAUAACAUAUUAAACUGCACUAAUCAUACUGAA